rnacentral:sRNA from 1 species
AUCUGGGGUCAGGAGGGAGGUGCAGCCCUCUCCUUACACAUCAUCACCUAAACAAAGACACUCGACCUUCUGCAGAGGGUCAGGGCUAUCCCCUGGUUGGUCACCUUUGCACAGCUCACUGCGGGACCUGAGAGCUGGCUAAGAUCUCAGGGAAAGGAGCAUAGCCCCAGGCCCCAGGCCCCAACUCUAUUCUCAGUAGGUUAUCUCAGAUAGUCUGCUUGUCCACAGAGCUAAGUCCAGUAGUAAAGCCCCAAAUCAAAGCCAGCAAGACCACAGUCACCGAAGAUAAGGACUCUGUGAACCUGACCUGCUCCACAAAUGACACUGGAAUCUCCAUCAGUUGGUUCUUCGAAAACCAGAGUCUCCCGUCCUCGGAGAGGAUGAAGCUGUCCCAGGGCAACACCACCCUCAGCAUAAACCCUGUCAAGAGGGAGGAUGCGGGGAAGUAUUGGUGUGAGGUCUUCAACUCAAUCAGUAAGAACCAAAGCGACCCCAUCAUGCUGACCGUAAAGUAUAAUUAUCCAUCACAAGAAAAUGGCCUCUCAGCUGGGGCCAUUGCUGGCAUUGUGAUUGGAGUAUUGGCCCUGGUUGCUCUGAUAGCAGUAGCCCUGGCAUGUUUUCUGCAUUUCAGGAAGACUGGCAGCUCAGGACCACUCCAAUGACCCACCUAACAAG